CCAAUAGCGUAUAUUAAAGUUGUUGCAGUUAAAAAGCUCGUAGUUGAACUUCGGGAUCAAUUGAUUGGUCAUGCCAUUGGUAUGUACUGGUCAUAUUGGUUCUCACCUUCUAAGGAACCAUGAUGUCAUUUAUUUGAUGUUGUGGGGAAUUAGGACUGUUACCUUGAAAAAAUUAGAGUGUUUAAAGCAGGCUAACGCUUGAAUACAUUAGCAUGGAAUAAUGAAAUAGGACAUCGCAUUCUAUUUUGUUGGUUUCUAGGAUCGAUGUAAUGAUUAAUAGGGAUAGUUGGGGGCAUUAGUAUUCAAUUGUCAGAGGUGAAAUUCUUGGAUUUAUUGAAGACUAACUACUGCGAAAGCAUUUGCCAAGGAUGUUUUCAUUAGUCAAGAACGAAAGUUAGGGGAUCGAAGACGAUCAGAUACCGUCGUAGUCUUAACCAUAAACUAUGCCGACUAGGGAUCGGAUGAUGUUGAUUUUAUAAUGACUCAUUCGGCACCUUACG
rnacentral:rRNA from 1 species